rnacentral:rRNA from 1 species
GAUGAACGCUAGCGGGAGGCCUAACACAUGCAAGCCGAGCGGUAUUGUUUCUUUGGAAAUGAGAGAGCGGCGUACGGGUGCGGAACACGUGUGCAACCUGCCUUUAUCUGGGGGAUAGCCUUUCGAAAGGAAGAUUAAUACUCCAUAAUAUAUUGAACGGCAUCGUUUAAUAUUGAAAGCUCCGGCGGAUAGAGAUGGGCACGCGCAAGAUUAGCUAGUUGGUGAGGUAACGGCUCACCAAGGCAAUGAUCUUUAGGGGGCCUGAGAGGGUGAUCCCCCACACUGGUACUGAGACACGGACCAGACUCCUACGGGAGGCAGCAGUGAGGAAUAUUGGUCAAUGGGUGCAAGCCUGAACCAGCCAUCCCGCGUGAAGGACG